GUGAGAGCAGGAGGGGUGAUGUUCUUGCCCCUCACUUUUAUAGUCCAGUCACCCUUUGAAGAGGAUUCUUCUGAGGAUUACCCCUCAAAGCAAAAUUUAGUCAAACAGUAAAGAAGGCGACAUGGAGUCUAUUCAUGCUCUUUCUCCUCCCC